CCUCUCUCUCCAGGGGCUGCCCCGGGUACAUAAUGAAAGGAAGACUACUUGCCACUGGCUUAUAUUAAAUACAUAUCGUGUCGCUGACAAGAAGCAAAGCAUGAUUGUACUAGACGUGUUUCUAGGUUCCCGCCUGGUCCCCAGCCUUCUCUGCUCCUGCUGCCUGUGGGGGACCCCUCCCCACCCAGCCACCCGCCAACAGCAAUCACCGGCUGAACCAGAGAGGGUGAAUUUGAAGGAGGGAAUCUGUGUCUCAUUAACCUUUGCACCACCACAUCACCCCAUAUUUCUGCACCAAGGUCCUGCCUGGCGUGCCGUCAGUCACGGGGACGCUGUACUGGUUUGGGAGUGAGGGCAGGGACUCCAGAGCUGCUCGGCAAUCCUGGCCCAUGGAUCUUCCUCACAGCCAGGGACAGUGGUACGGUGGCCCUUGUGGUCCCACCUCCUGCAAUCCAUCCCUCCUGCCCCCCCUGAAGAGGUCCUGUCACCUGAGCUUGCACUUACCUG